GAACAGAUCACGCUUUCCCCUUCCUCCCCUUCUCACGAUCUUAUUUUUUGAACUGCCCUCCCUUUCUCAAAAACACAUCGCUGAGAAACACAAAGAAAGAGGCGACCACCACUAGUGACCACCACAACCCAACCCAAUGCUCCACCACCGUCGGCUACCGCUACCACCACCGGCUUCUGAGCACUCCAUUGCUGUUACCUCUACCACGAAGAAUGGACCUAAAGAUCUUACGGAGCAAAGUCAAGGCGUAAAUUACAGAGCAUUGAGCAAUUGAUGUCGAGCAAGCUAGAGAUCUCCUAGAUAAGUUGAAGAAAUGGAAGGCAACAAAUGGGGAGAUGGAGAAUGAGAAAUGCCCGGCGUGGAGGAAUUGAUGUCCAGCAAGGAAUUCUUUGUAUCAAACAAUGAAGCACUGG